AUACGGAGGAUCCGAGCGUUAUCCGGAUUUAUUGGGUUUAAAGGGUGCGCAGGCGGCCAUUUAAGUCAGCGGUUAAAUCGUGGGGCUCAACCCCAUUCUGCCGUUGAUACUGGGUGGCUUGAUUGCGGUCGAGGUUGGCGGAAUUCGUUGUGUAGCGGGGCAAUGCAUAGAUAUGAAGAAAAACACCGAAUGCGUAGGCAGCUGACCAGACCGCAAAUGACGCUCAUGCACGAAAGUGCGGGGAUCGAACAGGAUUAGAUACCCUGGUAGUCCGCACAGUAAACGAUGAAUACUUGUUUUCGGCGAUAUAAUGUCGGAGGCAAAGCGAAAGCGAUAAGUAUUCCACCUGGGGAGUACGCCGGCAACGGUGAAACUCAAAGGAAUUGGCGGGG
rnacentral:rRNA from 1 species